rnacentral:tRNA from 2 species
GGGUCGUUAGCUCAGUUGGUAGAGCAGUUGACUUUUAAUCAAUUGGUCGCAAGUUCGAAUCCUGCACGACCCACCA